GACGAACGCUGGCGGCGUGCUUAACACAUGCAAGUCGAACGGAAAGGCCCUGCUUUUGUGGGGUGCUCGAGUGGCGAACGGGUGAGUAACACGUGAGUAACCUGCCCUUGACUUUGGGAUAACUUCAGGAAACUGGGGCUAAUACCGGAUAGGAGCUCCUGCUGCAUGGUGGGGGUUGGAAAGUUUCGGCGGUUGGGGAUGGACUCGCGGCUUAUCAGCUUGUUGGUGGGGUAGUGGCUUACCAAGGCUUUGACGGGUAGCCGGCCUGCGAGGGUGACCGGCAACAUUGGGACUGAGAUACGGCCCAGACUCCUACGGGAGGCAGCAGUGGGGAAUAUUGAAAAAUGGGCGGAAGCCUGAUGCAGAAACGCCGCGGGCGGGAUGACGGCCUUCGGGUUGUAAACCGCUUUCGCCUGUGACGAAGCGUGAGUGACGGUAAUGGGUAAAGAAGCACCGGCUAACUACGUG
rnacentral:rRNA from 1 species